UCUAUGGGGGGCUGCAGUGGGGAAUAUUGGACAAUGGGGGAAACCCUGAUCCAGCGACGCCGCGUGUGUGAAGAAGGCCUGCGGGUUGUAAAGCACUUUCGGUGGGAACGAAAUAUGCCGGGCUAAUAUCCCGGCAGGCUGACGUUACCCAAUGAAGAAGCACCGGCUAACUCUGUGCCAGCAGCCGCGGUAAUACAGAGGGUGCGAGCGUUAAUCGGAAUUACUGGGGGUAAAGCCCACGUACGCGGGUGAAAUCCCCGGGCUCAACCUGGGAACUGCAUUCGAAACUGCGAUGCUUGAGUAUGGGAGAGGACAGCGGAAUUCCGGGUGUAGCGGUGAAAUGCGUAGAUAUCCGGAGGAACAUCAGUGGCGAAGGCGGCUGUCUGGCCCAAUACUGACGCUCAGGUGCGAAAGCGUGGGGAGCAAACAGGAUUAGAUACCCGGGUAGUC
rnacentral:rRNA from 1 species